rnacentral:rRNA from 1 species
GACGAACGCUGGCGGCGUGCUUAACACAUGCAAGUCGAACGGAAAGGCCCUGCUUUUGUGGGGUGCUCGAGUGGCGAACGGGUGAGUAACACGUGAGUAACCUGCCCUUGACUUUGGGAUAACUUCAGGAAACUGGGGCUAAUACCGGAUAGGAGCUCCUGCUGCACGGUGGGGGUUGGAAAGUUUCGGCGGUUGGGGAUGGACUCGCGGCUUAUCAGCUUGUUGGUGGGGUAGUGGCUUACCAAGGCUUUGACGGGUAGCCGGCCUGAGAGGGUGACCGGCCACAUUGGGACUGAGAUACGGCCCAGACUCCUACGGGAGGCAGCAGUGGGGAAUAUUGCGCAAUGGGCGGAAGCCUGAUGCAGCAACGCCGCGUGCGGGAUGACGGCCUUCGGGUUGUAAACCGCUUUCGCCUGUGACGAAGCGUGAGUGACGGUAAUGGGUAAAGAAGCACCGGCUAACUACGUG